CUACGGGUGGCUGCAGUGAGGAAUUUUGCGCAAUGGGGGAAACCCUGACGCAGCAACGCCGCGUGAGCGAAGAAGGCCUUCGGGUCGUAAAGCUCUGUCAAGUGGGAAAAAAAUUCUUUGAUGAACAGUCAAAGGACUUGAUGGUACCACUGGAGGAAGCACCGGCUAACUCCGUGCCAGCAGCCGCGGUAAUACGGAGGGUGCAAGCGUUGUUCGGAAUUACUGGGCGUAAAGAGCGUGUAGGCGGUUUGACAAGUCAGAUGUGAAAGCCCCGGGCUCAACCCGGGAAGUGCAUUUGAAACUGUUUCACUAGAGUAUGGGAGAGGAGAUUGGAAUUCCUGGUGUAGAGGUGAAAUUCGUAGAUAUCAGGAGGAACACCCGUGGCGAAGGCGAUUCUCUGGACCAAUACUGACGCUGAGACGCGAAAGCGUGGGGAGCAAACAGGAUUAGAUACCCCUGUAGUC
rnacentral:rRNA from 1 species